CAUUACUAGUUUAGGGUGCUGAUCCAGCGCCCAAACUUCAACCCUUUGACUUAAUUAAUUUGUUUCUUUGCCGGCUUCGGCCGGCAGAAGUUUUCUCAAACUCAUUAGAAAUUUGUCUUCUGAACCUCAAAAAUAAUAAUUAAAACUUUCAACAACGGAUCUCUUGGUUCUGGCAUCGAUGAAGAACGCAGCGAAAUGCGAUAAGUAAUGUGAAUUGCAGAAUUCAGUGAAUCAUCGAAUUUUUGAACGCAUAUUGCGCCCUUUGGCAUUCCGAAGGGCAUACCUGUUCGAGCGUCAUUACACCCCUCAAGCUCAGGUUUGAUGUUGGGCGCUGCUGUAAGGGCAUGCCUAAAAAUUAGCGAUGGUAACCGACAACCACAGGCGCACAGGUGUCGCAAUGAUGGAAGUUGGGGCACCAGUUUUUAACUAAAUUUCUAAAUGUUG
rnacentral:rRNA from 1 species